rnacentral:rRNA from 1 species
UACGAAGGGGGCUAGCGUUGCUCGGAAUUACUGGGCGUAAAGGGCGCGUAGGCGGCCCUGCAAGUCAGGCGUGAAAUUCCCGGGCUCAACCUGGGGGCUGCGCUUGAGACUGUGGGGCUAGAGGCCGAGAGAGGGUGGUGGAAUUCCCAGUGUAGAGGUGAAAUUCGUAGAUAUUGGGAAGAACACCGGUGGCGAAGGCGGCCACCUGGCUCGGUUCUGACGCUGAGGUGCGAAAGCGUGGGGAGCAAACAGG